GUGCCAGCCGCCGCGGUAAUACGUAGGGCGCAAGCGUUGUCCGGAAUUAUUGGGCGUAAAGAGCUCGUAGGCGGUUGGUCGCGUCUGCCGUGAAAACCCAUGGCUUAACUGUGGGCUUGCGGUGGAUACGGGCCGACUUGAGGUAGGUAGGGGAGAAUGGAAUUCCCGGUGUAGCGGUGAAAUGCGCAGAUAUCGGGAGGAACACCGGUGGCGAAGGCGGUUCUCUGGGCCUUACCUGACGCUGAGGAGCGAAAGCGUGGGGAGCGAACAGGAUUAGAUACCCCAGUAGUCC
rnacentral:rRNA from 1 species